UAAACAGCAAGCUUAAAUACCCUGACACCCCCUACAACAUUAAAUCAUCC
rnacentral:rRNA from 1 species